rnacentral:rRNA from 1 species
UACGUAGGGUGCAAGCGUUGUCCGGAAUUAUUGGGCGUAAAGAGCUCGUAGGCGGUGUGUCGCGUCGGCCGUGAAAACCUGCAGCUUAACUGUGGGCUUGCGGUCGAUACGGGCAUCACUGGAGUUCGGCAGGGGAGACUGGAAUUCCUGGUGUAGCGGUGAAAUGCGCAGAUAUCAGGAGGAAUACCGGUGGCGAAGGCGGGUCUCUGGGCCGAUACUGACGCUGAGGAGCGAAAGCGUGGGGAGCAAACAGG